rnacentral:rRNA from 1 species
CCUACGGGAGGCAACAGUGGGGAAUAUUGCACAAUGGGGGAAACCCUGAUGCAGCGACGCCGCGUGAGUGAAGAAGUAUUUCGGUAUGUAAAGCUCUAUCAGCAGGGAAGAAAAUGACGGUACCUGAUUAAGAAGCCCCGGCUAACUACGGGCCAGCAGCCGCGGGAAGACGUAGGGGGCAAGCGUUAUCCGGAUUUUCUGGGGGGAAAGGGAGCGUAGACGGCAGCACAAGGCUGGAGUGAAAUGCCGGGGCUUAACCCCGGAACUGCUUUGGAAACUGUUGAGCUAGAGGGCAGGAGAGGCAAGUGGAAUUCCUAGUGUAGCGGUGAAAUGCGUAGAUAUUAGGAGGAACACCAGUGGCGAAGGCGGCUUACUGGACUGUAACUGACGUUGAGGCUCGAAAGCGUGGGGAGCAAACAGGAUUAGAUACCCCAGUAGUC